GCAAGGUUCUCUGCCUCUCCAGUUUAUCCACACAACAACAAUCGUUUGAGAAAAGCUUUAACCUGAUGCUUUACUGAGCUUCUUCUGUUUUCAUUGCUGGAGGAAAAGUGCAUCCUUUACAUGGUGUUUCUGAAUUUAUCUGCCUUCCUAUACAUUCCAGUGACCAAGCACAAAGUACCACUGUGAUACAGCUGCAGUACAGUGGAUUUUCAACGGUGCAAGAUGCCUUUGUCACAGUUUGAAAUUUAGUAACUCAUCAUCUUCAUUCUAAAAAUGUGCAAAAAUGACUGGAAAAAAAGGAGAGGCACUGGACAAAAAUGACCAUAAAUGCCUCAUGUAGAGAAGCCUCAUUCUUCUGCUGAAAGCUGAAAUGUGGGAUGGCUCUCGUAGGUAAAGCUGACCCUGUGGAAAAGUGGCACCUGAUGUGUAUGGAACUGACCUUCCUCCACUCUUCAUUUCCAAUUCCCUUAUACACUCUAAUGCACCCAGGAUUUUAAAAUGUUUAAUCUCUAGAUUUCCCAGAUGGACUUUCAUCCUGGCAGCUUACAGGGCCAGAUCUGCUUGGCUUAUGCAAAAGCCCUUCAUCAUGAAGACCUUUCAGAUCAAUAGCAAAAUGCUUAAACAUUGUGAUUCCCAUGCCAAUAAUAAUAAUAAUAAUAAUAAUAAUAUAAUCUUUAAGUUUCCCCAACUAUAACGUGGGUAGAUCUGGUACUUUUAACAAAGUAUUUUAAUGUUAUAUUUUUCUCUUCUGUCAUUUAAUUUUACCUUUGUUCCUUCACCCAGGAUACUAAGGUCUUUAUUGUGCUUGUUUUUAAAGUAUUUAAUAAAUAGUGGUAGAAUAUUA